rnacentral:rRNA from 1 species
GCGCGCACAGGUGCUGCAUGGCUGUCGUCAGCUCGUGCCGUGAGGUGUUAGGUUAAGUCCUGUAACGAGCGCAACCCCUGCCCCUAGUUACACGUGUCUAGGGGGACCGCCUGGGCAACUGGGAGGAAGGUGGGGAUGACGUCAAGUCAGCAUGGCCUGGAUGUCCUGGGCGACACACACGCUACAAUGGCCGGUACAAUGGGCAGCCAACCCGCAAGGGGGAGCCAAUCCCAUCAAAGCCGGUCUCAGUUGGGAUUGGGGGCUGCAACCCGCCCCCAUGAACGCGGAGUUGCUAGUAACCGCGCAUCAGCCAUGGUGCGGUGAAUACGUUCCCGGGCCUUGUACACACCGCCCGUCACGUCAUGGGAGCUGGCAACACCUGAAGCCGGUGGGCCAACCGCAAGGAGGCAGCCGUCGAGGGUGGGGCCGGUGACUGGGACGAAGUCGUAACAAGGUAGC